rnacentral:rRNA from 1 species
UACGGAGGAUGCGAGCGUUAUCCGGAUUUAUUGGGUUUAAAGGGUGCGUAGGCGGAUCGUUAAGUCAGUGGUCAAAUUGAGGGGCUCAGCCCCUUCCCGCCAUUGAAACUGGCGAUCUUGAGUGGAAGAGAAGUAUGCGGAAUGCGUGGUGUAGCGGUGAAAUGCAUAGAUAUCACGCAGAACCCCGAUUGCGAAGGCAGCAUGCCGGCUUCCUACUGACGCUGAAGCACGAAAGCGUGGGGAUCGAACAGG